GAUUUCGUAACUCAACGGAUAGAGUAUAGGUUUUCUAAACCUAAAGUUACAGGUUCGAAUCCUGUCGAAAUCA
rnacentral:tRNA from 1 species